UGGGGAAUAUUGGACAAUGGGCGCAAGCCUGAUCCAGCAAUGCCGCGUGUGUGAAGAAGGCCCUCGGGUUGUAAAGCACUUUUAUCAGGAGCGAAAUCUGCAAGGCUAAUACCCUUGUAGUCUGACGGUACCUGAGGAAUAAGCACCGGCUAACUCCGUGCCAGCAGCCGCGGUAAUACGGAGGGUGCAAGCGUUAAUCGGAAUUACUGGGCGCAAAGCGUGUGUAGGCGGUUUGUUAAGUCUGUUGUGAAAGCCCCGGGCUCAACCUGGGAAUGGCAAUGGAUACUGGCAAGCUAGAGUGUGAUAGAGGAUGGUGGAAUUCCCGGUGUAGCGGUGAAAUGCGUAGAGAUCGGGAGGAACAUCAGUGGCGAAGGCGGCCAUCUGGAUCAACACUGACGCUGAGACACGAAAGCGUGGGGAGCAG
rnacentral:rRNA from 1 species